ACAUAUCAAUAAGCGGAGGAAAAGAAACCAACAGGGAUUGCCCUAGUAACGGCGAGUGAAGCGGCAACAGCUCAAAUUUGAAAUCUGGCGCAAGCCCGAGUUGUAAUUUGUAGAGGAUGCUUCUAGGUAGCGACCGGUCUAAGUUCCUUGGAACAGGACGUCAUAGAGGGUGAGAAUCCCGUAUGUGACUGGCCCGCACCUUCUACGUAGCUCCUUCGACGAGUCGAGUUGUUUGGGAAUGCAGCUCUAAAUGGGAGGUAAAUUUCUUCUAAAGCUAAAUACCGGCCAGAGACCGAUAGCGCACAAGUAGAGUGAUCGAAAGAUGAAAAGCACUUUGGAAAGAGAGUUAAAAAGCACGUGAAAUUGUUGAAAGGGAAGCGCUCACAACCAGACUUCUAGGCAGUGUUCCGCCGGUCUUUUGACCGGUCUACUCUCUGUCUCGAGGCCAACAUCAUCUGGGACCGCUGGAUAAGACCUUAGGAAUGUAGCUCCCCUCGGGGAGUGUUAUAGCCUCUGGUGAUGCAGCGAGUCUCGGGUGAGGUCCGCGCUUCGGCAAGGAUGUUGGCGUAAUGGUUGUCAGCGGCCCGUCUUGAAACACGGACCAAGGAGUCUAACAUCUAUGCGAGUGUUCGGGUGUCAAACCCCUACGCGUAAUGAAAGUGAACGGAGGUGGGAAGCGUAAGCUGCACCAUCGACCGAUCCUGAUGUCCUCGGAUGGAUUUGAGUAAGAGCAUAGCUGUUGGGACCCGAAAGAUGGUGAACUAUGCCUGAAUAGGGUGAAGCCAGAGGAAACUCUGGUGGAGGCUCGCAGCGGUUCUGACGUGCAAAUCGAUCGUCAAAUUUGGGUAUAGGGGCGAAAGACUAAUCGAACCAUCUAGUAGCUGGUUCCUGCCGAU
rnacentral:rRNA from 1 species